rnacentral:rRNA from 1 species
UACAGAGGGUGCAAGCGUUAAUCGGAAUUACUGGGCGUAAAGCGUGCGUAGACGGUUAUGUAAGUCAGAUGUGAAAGCCCCGGGCUCAACCUGGGAAUUGCAUUUGAGACUGCAUAGCUAGGGUGCGGAAGAGGGAAGCGGAAUUUCCGGUGUAGCGGUGAAAUGCGUAGAUAUCGGAAGGAACACCAGUGGCGAAAAGCGGCUUCCUGGUCCAGCACCGACGUCAGGCACGAAAGCG